CCGUGAUAAAGUAGCAUAAUCACUCGUCAUUUAAUUGGUGACUGGAAUGAAUGGUUACACGAAUCUUUAACUGUCUCAAGAAGAAAGUUCAAUUAAUUUGAAAAAACAGUGAAGAUGCUGUUAACAAAAUUGUAAGACGAAAAGACCCUUUCGAGCUUUACUAUAAGCUUAUAGAAAAAAUCUUUAAUAAAAAUAUAAUAAAAACAAACUGUAAGCUAGUUAGUUUGGUUGGGGCGACCACCUCUAAAACAGUAUCAGAGGAAAUCUAAAGGUAUAAUAGUAAUAUUAAUUGCCUUACUGUAUACAAACAAGUUAAUCAGUUAGUAUUAUGUAGGAUAUAAUGACCCGUUGAAUUAAUUUCAAAAUUCAACGACCAUGAAAAAAGUUACCGUAGGGAUAACAGGGUAAUAUUAUCAAAGAGUUCAUAUCGAUGAUGAU
rnacentral:rRNA from 1 species